ACUUUCUUAUUUAAUCUCUAUGCUAAAAUUGCAGUAACUAGUAUCUGUAGUGUCUUAGUGCUUGUAAUAAAGCUGACAGAGUAAACACAAGGAAAAAAAACAACCAUACCAGAUAGUAGAAAAACUGCAGGUAACUCCAGGGUAUUUUGUUCUAAGAUUUGGUACAGAAUUU
ensembl:snoRNA small nucleolar RNA SNORA81